rnacentral:rRNA from 1 species
AGUCGAGCGGUAAGGCCCUUCGGGGUACACGAGCGGCGAACGGGUGAGUAACACGUGAGCAACCUGCCCCUGACUCUGGGAUAAGCGGUGGAAACGCCGUCUAAUACCGGAUACGACCUUCCGCCUCAUGGUGGAGGGUGGAAAGUUUUUUCGGUCAGGGAUGGGCUCGCGGCCUAUCAGCUUGUUGGUGGGGUAACGGCCUACCAAGGCGAUUACGGGUAGCCGGCCUGAGAGGGCGACCGGCCACACUGGGACUGAGACACGGCCCAGACUCCUGCGGGAGGCAGCAGUGGGGAAUAUUGCGCAAUGGGCGAAAGCCUGACGCAGCGACGCCGCGUGGGGGAUGACGGCCUUCGGGUUGUAAACCUCUUUUACCACCAACGCAGGCUCCGGGUUCUCUCGGGGUUGACGGUAGGUGGGGAAUAAGGACCGGCUAACUACGUGCCAGCAGCCGCGGUAAUACGUAGGGUCCGAGCGUUGUCCGGAAUUAUUGGGCGUAAAGAGCUCGUAGGCGGCGUGUCGCGUCUGCUGUGAAAGACCGGGGCUUAACUCCGGUUCUGCAGUGGAUACGGGCAUGCUAGAGGUAGGUAGGGGAGACUGGAAUUCCUGGUGUAGCGGUGAAAUGCGCAGAUAUCAGGAGGAACA